rnacentral:sRNA from 1 species
GCCAGGCAUGGUGGCACAUGCCUGUAAUCCCAGUGACUCAGGAGGCUGAGGCAGGAGGAUCACAAGUUCCAAUCUAGCCUCAGCAACUUAGAGAGGUCCUAAGCAACUUAGUGAGACUCUGUCUCAA